rfam:Schistosoma haematobium scaffold205_39, whole genome shotgun sequence.
AUCCAGGUGACGCAUCCCAAAUGGGACGAAACGCGCGUCCUGGAU